rnacentral:rRNA from 1 species
CGGGUGAGUAACACGUGACUAACCUGCCUUCCAGUGGGGGAUAACCCCGGGAAACCGGGGCUAAUACCGCAUAACAUCGCGAGGUGAAAUUCCUUGUGAUCAAAGGAGCAAUUCGCUGGAAGAGGGGGUCGCGACUGAUUAGCUAGUUAGUGAGGUAACGGCUCACCAAGGCGAUGAUCAGUAGCCGGCCUGAGAGGGCGCACGGCCACACUGGAACUGAAACACGGUCCAGACUCCUACGGGAGGCAGCAGUGGGGAAUUUUGCGCAAUGGGGGAAACCCUGACGCAGCAACGCCGCGUGGAGGAUGAAGUCCCUUGGGACGUAAACUCCUUUCGAUCGGGACGAUUAUGACGGUACCGGAAGAAGAAGCCCCGGCUAACUUCGUGCCAGCAGCCGCGGUAAUACGAGGGGGGCGAGCGUUGUUCGGAAUUAUUGGGCGUAAAGGGCGCGUAGGCGGUGCGGUAAGUCACCUGUGAAACCUCUGGGCUUAACUCAGAGCCUGCAGGCGAAACUGCCGUGCUGGAGUGUGGGAGAGGUGAGUGGAAUUCCCGGUGUAGCGGUGAAAUGCGUAGAUAUCGGGAGGAAC